AGUGACUGAUAGUUAAACGGCCGCGGUAUCCUGACCGUGCAAAGGUAGCAUAAUCACUUGUUCUCUAAAUAAGGACUUGUAUGAACGGCCACACGAAGGUUUUACUGUCUCUUACUUUUAAUCAGUGAAAUUGACCUUCCCGUGAAGAGGCGGGAAUAACAAAACAAGACGAGAAGACCCUAUGGAGCUGUCAAUUAAUCAACCCAAUAACCCACAACCUCAAACCACCAAGGGAUAAAAAAAACUUAUAUGGGUUGACAAUUUCGGUUGGGGUGACCUCGGAGCACAAAAACCCCUCCGAGUGAUUAAAGCCUAGGCCUACCAGCCAAAGCAUAACAUCACUUAUUGAUCCAAAGCUUUGAUCAACGGAACAAGUUACCCUAGGGAUAACAGCGCAAUCCUAUUCUAGAGUCCAUAUCGACAAUAGGUUUACGACCUCGAUGUUGGAUCAGGACAUCCUAAUGGUGCAGCCGCUAUAAGGUC
rnacentral:rRNA from 1 species